UUGACCUCGGAUCGGGCAGGGAUACCCGCUGAACUU
rnacentral:rRNA from 1 species